rnacentral:rRNA from 1 species
GACGAACGCUGGCGGCGUGCUUAACACAUGCAAGUCGAACGGAAAGGCCCUGCUUUUGUGGGGUGCUCGAGUGGCGAACGGGUGAGUAACACGUGAGUAACCUGCCCUUGACUUUGGGAUAACUUCAGGAAACUGGGGCUAAUACCGGAUAGGAGCUCCUGCUGCAUGGUGGGGGUUGGAAAGUUUCGGCGGUUGGGGAUGGACUCGCGGCUUAUCAGCUUGUUGGUGGGGUAGUGGCUUACCAAGGCAUUGACGGGUAGCCGGCCUGAGAGGGUGACCGGCCACAUUGGGACUGAGAUACGGCCCAGAGUCCUACGGGAGGCAGAAGUGGGAAAUAUUGCACAAUGGGCGGAAGCCUGAUGCAGCAACGCCGCGUGCGGGAUGACGGCCUUCGGGUUGUAAACCGCUUUCGCCUGUGACGAAGCGUGAGUGACGGUAAUGGGUAAAGAAGCACCGGCUAACUACGUG